GUGGUAUGGCUCACUUUGGCAGCACAUAUACCAAACUUGGAAUGAAACAGAGAAUAAUAGCAUGAACCCUGUACAAGGAUGAGAUGCAAAUUCGUGAAGCAUUCCAUAUUAAA
ensembl:snRNA U6 U6 spliceosomal RNA